rnacentral:rRNA from 1 species
GACGAACGCUGGCGGCGUGCUUAACACAUGCAAGUCGAACGGAAAGGCCCUGCUUUUGUGGGGUGCUCGAGUGGCGAACGGGUGAGUAACACGUGAGUAACCUGCCCUGGACUUUGGGAUAACUUCAGGAAACUGGGGCUAAUACCUGAUAGGAGCUCCUGCUGCAUGGUGGGGGUUGGAAAGUUUCGGCGGUUGGGGAUGGACUCGCGGCUUAUCAGCUUGUUGGUGGGGUAGUGGCUUACCAAGGCUUUGACGGGUAGCCGGCCUGAGAGGGUGACCGGCCACAUUGGGACUGAGAUACGGCCCAGACUCCUACGGGAGGCAGCAGUGGGGAAUAUUGCACAAUGGGCGGAAGCCUGAUGCAGAAACGCCGCGUGCGGGAUGACGGCCUUCGGGUUGUAAACCGCUUUCGCCUGUGACGAAGCGUGAGUGACGGUAAUGGGUAAAGAAGCACCGGCUAACUACGUG